rnacentral:rRNA from 1 species
CUAGUAACGGCGAGCGAAACGGCAAUAGCCCAACUUGAAAAUCUCCCUUUGGAGAAUUGUAGUCUAUAGAAGUACUCUCUGCAACGGGCGGAACUCAAGUCUCCUGGAAAGGGGCGUCAGAGAGGGUGAGAACCCCGUCGGUUCCUGCUUAGUUGCCUCACGAGGUGCUUUCGAAGAGUCGGGUUGCUUGGGAAUGCAGCCCUAAUUUGGUGGUAAAUCCCAUCUAAGGCUAAAUACUGGCGAGAGACCGAUAGCGAACAAGUACCGUGAGGGAAAGAUGAAAAGAACUUUGAAAAGAGAGUUAAAAAGUGCUUGAAAUUGUUGAGGGGGAAGCGUUUGAAUGCUCGGGUGCGCUUAGGCUUAUGUAGUCUUAACGGGCUGCUGUAUGUGCUAAGUGCUGGCCAGCAUGGGUUGGACUGGUAGGAUAACAGUCGGGGUUGUUACCUGGCCUAUACUACCGGCCCGACCAAGGCAUGAAGACUGCCCUUGUCCUUCGGGAACUGCAGUCUCAAGAUGCUGGCGGAAAGCUUUCAACCGACCCGUCUUGAAACACGGACCAAGGAGUCUAACAUGUAUGCGAGCUGGUGGGUGGAAAACCCAUGAAGCGCAAGUAACCUGACUGGUGGGAUGGCCUGUGCCUGCACCAUCGACCGACCAUGAGCUUCUGCGAAAGGUUUGAGUACGAGCAUACCUGUUGGGACCCGAAAGAUGGUGAACUAUGCCUGAGCAGGGCGAAGCCAGAGGAAACUCUGGUGGAGGCUCGUAGAUGUGCUGACGUGCAAAUCGCUUUUCGGACU